rnacentral:rRNA from 1 species
UAGGGAAUUUUGGGCAAUGGGCGAAAGCCUGACCCAGCAACGCCGCGUGUGGGAUGAAGGCCCUCGGGUCGUAAACCACUGUCAGGAGGAAAGAAAAGUCGGCCGGAUAAUACUCGGUCGACCUGACGGUACCUCCAAAGGAAGCACCGGCUAACUCCGUGCCAGCAGCCGCGGUAAUACGGAGGGUGCAAGCGUUGUUCGGAAUUACUGGGCGUAAAGCGCGUGUAGGUGGUCGAGUAAGUCGAAUGUGAAAACCCCGGGCUCAACCCGGGAAGUGCAUCCGAAACUGCUCGACUAGAGUCCCGGAGAGGAAGGCAGAAUUCCCAAUGUAGGGGUGAAAUCCGUAGAUAUUGGGAGGAAUACCGGUGGCGAAGGCGGCCUUCUGGACGGUGACUGACACUCAGACGCGAAAGCGUGGGGAGCAAACAGGAUUAGAUACCCCCGUAGUCCCUGAGCGGGCUGGCAAGGCGCAU